CGACAACCCAGCGGGAAGUGCUCUAGCGGGGAUUCUGGGCUUGUGAGAGUCCCUGUUUACCCCCCUUUCUUCCUUUUCAUCCAUUAAAACCCUACUUUACUCACCAUUCAAACUGUUUGUGAGCCUAAAUUUUCAUAGCCGUAGGACGGACAAGGACCCCAUCGCUAGCUGAACUAAGGAAAAGUCCUGAAACAUUUUUGGCCUGCAACGUGGGGACUCAAGAAGCACUAGGGAUCUGGAUUUAGACACAGACAACCAGAUAUACUCAUGCGAAGCACUGAUUCAGAACUAAACUGUAGAAGGACGACGCAGUGGCAGAGAAGGUGUCUACUUCACUGGCACAGAAGUCCAGUCUCCUUAUUGUCAGACAGCACAUAAGAUGUGUUCCUGAAGGUAAUGGUUCUGACCCCACUUCCUGAUCCCCUACUCAUGGUUAUAGUAGUACAACCCUGAAGCCAGCAGUUGGGACAGCAGUCUUCUAACUCCCCAGCUUCCUGAUGAGGCAGAUGUAGAGGGCCAGUUCUGUGGUGGUGUUCUUGGAGUCUGGAAUAGUUCCACAUCAAGAGCUAUUCCCAAGACCUUCUAAAAAAUUGUAAGCACUAACUUACCAUGUUAAGUUCCCUUCUGAUUAAAAUGGAGUGGUU
rnacentral:lncRNA from 1 species